rnacentral:lncRNA from 1 species
GACAGAGUCUAGAAUCUGCUCUCGUCUUCCGUCUCUUCUAUUCCAACCGAUGGAGGAGUUUCAGUUCGCCUUCUUCAAACUUUCAACAAUACUCGUAGCUCUUUUCGUCUUCUUAUCUAUCUAUUAGAUUUCAGGCAUUAUUCGCUCAAUCCUUGCUCGCAUCUUCUUUGUUUUCUCUUUGUCUUCUUUUCUUUCUUUGCUACUUUUAGAUCUAUUUAACUGUUUUCAAUUUCAUGGAUAAAUUUCCUUGGAUUUUGUAUUUUCCAACCAGAUGAUGCGGAAUUACCAUUUUAAGGGCUAUUCUCCGUCCAAUUUCAUUGAUGUUGCCUUCUUCUUGCUGAUUCACCUCUAUCUCUUCUUCUUCAUAAGGUAUUGAAAUUUAUUGUUCUACUAACUUAAAACAAAAAGGAUAUUUAAUUUUACUCCUAAUUCAUGUUGUUCUUCCUUUUCUUUACAUUUUUUGUAUAUGUUAUAUUUCUAUGAAUUGUGAAUCGCGAGUAUGUUUUCAGGCUCUUCUUAACUGCCUCUGCGCACACCCCUCACUCUCCAUAGCCGAGGAAAAGAACAGUAAGAACUCAUGAUAACCUAAUUUUGAUAAAGCACUAAAAUUGGUGUAUGGGUUGAGAUUGAAAUAAAGUGAAUGAAUUAAGUCAAAUGGCUAUUGGGAAAAAUUUAUGCAUAUAAAUUUCUAUUGACAGAUUUUAUUCAUUAUUUCAUGUCUUAGGAAUGCUUAAUUAGGCUUAAGAUGAUUUGGGAACUUUUCUUAAAAGUUGUGUUCGAGCAACAUCUGAUUGUUUAAACUUAAAUUCAUUUAUCUGGCUACAAAUUUAUGGAAUAAGGAAGGUAUGUUAAAGGGCAUGUAAUGGGAUUGCUUUAUAUGAUGACUCAUUGUUGUUGAUGGGAUUUGAAAGUAGAGGAAUAUUUAAAAGUAGAGGAGUAGGAAGUAGAGCACCGAGGAUUGAUAAAGAUUGUAUGAAGUUGCAAGACACUAAUGGUCCAGAAAAAGGACGAGAAAAUAGCACAGAUAUCCAAAACUUUAAGAAGCAGACAAGAGGAAUAGAGAUGUAAGGACAUGUAUAAGAGGAUACCUAAGCCAAGGAAGUAGCUUAAUUUUUUUUAUUUUUUUAUUCCUUGUUUAUUGGCAUCCACUGAUACAAUGUGUGUUCAACUAUAAAUUAUAGUUGUUUGUCUUAUUGGAAAUUCUCAUUCACCCAUCUUUAAGCCUAAUUUGUCUUAUUUUCUACUGAUAUGUCCAUGUCUUAUUAUCAACAUAUGUUAUCUUCACCUAUACUUUCUUAUUAUUCUCUACUUUUAUGCAAUUUUAUUAGAAUAUUCUUUAAGUUUGUAUUUUAUUAAGAUAUUUUGUCCAAAAGUAUAAGUGACGGAUGGAUCUUUCCAUCUUGCAUACUUGACUGAUUGAUUCACUUGGUUACUUCUUGACAAUUGGUUUUUUCUCCUGUUAGUUCAGUACCGAAUGCAUAUGGAUUAUCAGGUUUGUAUAUUUAUCAGUGGAAAAUAUUAUUGCAUUCAUAAAUACACUUUGUUUUAACAUAAAUAUAGCAUGUAUUAAAACAUUCUUCCAUGAUGAUUACUUUCAACUUUUACAAAUUAAAACUAUUACAGGAACCUAGAAAAAGGAUUAUUUUCAAGGUCAUGAAAGAGUACUCAAAGGUCCUCCUCCAUCACUUCAAGUGGCAAAGGCUGUGAACUAUUUAACUUGGUACCCUUCUUUUUAUCCAUCAAGGCCUCUACAUGCUGCUCUUUACUUCCUUUUUGGGUGUAAGUUUUUUUUUCUUCAUAUUUAUGUUUAUCAUUGUGAUUAUUGAUGGUAAGGCCCAGCUCUCUUCGCAUUCAGUUUCUUAAAUCAAUUGGUGUGUUUGCUUUUGUGCUUUUAAUUUAUUUCAUCACUUUCAAGUUGUAGUUACAAGUUCAAAGAUCAAUUGAUUUUUUUUUAAUAUUCCGGAACAUAUGAUGACUAAUAGCUUGUUUGGCCAAGCUGCAAAAAUUAACUUAUUUUGAGAAGUGUUUUUUCUCAAAAGUGCUUUUUUCAAAAGUAUUUUUUGGUGAGAAUCAGUUUGUGUUUGGCUAAUUAAUUUGAAAAGCACUUCUGAGCAGCAAUUAGUAUUUGGCCAAGUUUUUAAAAACUGCUUCUAAGUGUAUUUUUCUUAAAAGUGCUUUUCAAAAAAGUGCUUUUGGAGAGAAGCUACUUUUUUCUGCUUCUCCAAAACUGCUUCUGCUUCUCCUCAAAAGCACUUUUCUUUCUUCAAAAAGCUUGGUCAAACACUUUAACUUUGAAAAAAAAGUACUUCUUUUAAAAAGAAAAGUGCUUUUGGCUUUGGAGAAGCUGGGCCAAACAGGCGAUAAGUCUAGCAUUCAAAAACUUUCCUCUUAGUUAGAAAAGGUAGUAUUGUAAUGCAUGAAAUAACUGGUGAUCGAGGAGGUUUUAUAUUCAUACUUUGAAAGUUCUAGCUUUGAUAUUGCCUAUUAUUUGUGGCUACAAGAGUUGCUUUAAUUUUUAUUUGGCUGAAUAGGUAGGGUGAUUUAUGAUACAAUAACAUGUCGUAGUAUGUACACUUUCGGAAAUAAGUACUUCGUAAAAUUGUACUAUUGUUAGGUAUUGAGUUUUAUUUGUGAAUUGAAGUAUAUAACUCUUUCGCACAGUGUAUUAAUACCAUGAGAUAUUUUUCCGUUCUAUGAGUUUAUCUACUAAGAUUAAGGACAAAUAAAAUAAGAAAUCAAGGAUAGUUUUGCAUAAUUAUUGUAGUGUAUUUGGUAACAGUGGCAUGGUAUAACUUUGUUUGUUUCCUUGGUUAUAAGUCUUUGCAAAUUAAAUAUAAUGUACUACAAAUGUAUUUAUAAAAAAGUGCAAUUUAUGCAAAAAGGGUGACAAGAACAAACCAAAAUUUUGAGGAAAAAAAAAAACAUAUUACCUAGGCUGAGUGCCAUUUCAAACAUAAGGUGCUCUUGCAGAUAGAAUAACACAAAAACGUCAUUAUUGUUACUUAGUUGAUCAACCAUUAGAAGUUUGUUGAUUGACCGUUGUUUGGGAAGUUCUAGAAUAAGUACCAUCUUGAGCUAACUAUCUUGAACACAAUUUUAUGUUUGAUUAUAUCUUCUUCAGUAUUUCGUGAACUCUAAAUUAUUUUCAUUGUUGACUCUGGUAGAAAUUGAUUAUUCAUCAAUGGGAGAUUUAAAAGAACCCCAUGACUGAGGUAUGUAUUAGGUCUUGAGCACUACCAGCUUACUCAAUAUAUUUAGAUAUAAAGAAUGUGUUUUAUUGUAAUUGUCUUGAAGAGUUUGUACUUGAAUUAAACUAUCUACUCAGUUUCCUUUCGAUAUUUGACUUAUGGAACUUCAGUUUGAUACUUUAUGUGAUAAAUACAGUCAAUAAAUCAAUCUAUCUAUGUCUUGAAACAGAGAAGAAACUUUUCAAUUAAGGUUUGUGAAGAAAAUGAGAAAAGCAAAGUGGAUCACUUUUUUAUAUUUCCCUUUUCGUGUAUUAGAAAAUUUUAUUAUUGACAAAGACCACACUAAGAUAAUGCUGAGAUGACAUAAAAGAAAUAUUAAUAUCAGUCCAUAUUUAUUCUUGCAGUGAUGACAAAAAAUAUAUCAAUGUAUUUACUUCAUAUCCUUAUAUGUUCUUUAUAACGAAUGAACUUUUUGUGUCACUUAAUAGUCAUAUGAUAUUAAUGUAUCUUUUUCUUUUAUAUGAGGGAAAGUAAAAUGCAUUGACCAACUUUUCUGGACAUCAUUUGCAUUUCACAUAAGUUGUGUCAGCAUUAGCUUAUCAAAGAAAACAUAAGGCUUAGCAUUUUUUCGAUUUUUUCGUUAAUUGUUAGGUGGUUAAAUCUUAAUGAUAGGAAGAUCCUAUACUGUUUUGAUAAAAUAUUAUAUUUGAUGUAUCUUUAGAUUGUAGUAACAGUGUCUUGCUAUAAAAGGCCAUAAUUUGACUCUUGAGUAUAGUAUUUUUCGAGUAGUUUAUUUGUGGUGAUCGCACUUAUCUCUUUAUGUCGUGAUAUUUUUCAAUUCUUGCUAUCAUUUAAUAUUUUCUAUCUCUAAAUAUUUGACUUCUUAUUCUCUACUUGGAAUAGGACAGGUUGUCUGAAGAACACAUAGUAGCAGAUGUAUGAAUGCAAUACACAAAAUAUUUGCCAUACUUUAUGUGGCUCUUAGUUGGACUAUGUUCUCUUUUGUUUAUAGUACAAACACGGAUAGCAACUGAUAUAUUUAGUUGAUCACGUAGCAUAAGAUAGUGGGUAGAAAACGAUGAAGAAAUAAGGCGUACUUGAGCUUGAGUUUGAUUUUGUAAGUAUAUUUAAAGGAAGUUGAAGAAAAGGAAAUAUUUAGCUCAAUUUUGAUAAAUCUAGGGAAG